rnacentral:tRNA from 1 species
AGCAAAGUAAACUAACGGUAAGUUACUAGGCUCAUACCCUAGAUAUAAAAGUUCAAUUCUUUUCUUUGCUA